rnacentral:rRNA from 1 species
GCUGAAAUUCGCCUGCAUGAAGCCGGAAUUGCUAGUAAUGGCAGGUCAGCAUACUGCCGUGAAUACGUUCCCGGGCCUUGUACACACCGCCCGUCACACCAUGAGAGUUGGGAAUACCCGAAGCCUGUGAGCCAACAAACGAGGCAGCAGUCGAAGGUAGAAUCAAUGAUUGGGGUGAAGUCGUAACAAGGUAAC